rnacentral:rRNA from 1 species
AGCGAACGCUGGCGGCAUGCUUAACACAUGCAAGUCGCACGGAUCUUUCGGGAUCAGUGGCGGACGGGUGAGUAACGCGUAGGGAUCUAUCCAUGGGUGGGGGACAACUCCGGGAAACUGGAGCUAAUACCGCAUGAUACCUGAGGGUCAAAGGCGCAAGUCGCCUGUGGAGGAACCUGCGUUCGAUUAGCUAGUUGGUGGGGUAAAGGCCUACCAAGGCGAUGAUCGAUAGCUGGUUUGAGAGGAUGAUCAGCCACACUGGGACUGAGACACGGCCCAGAAUCCUACGGGAGGGAGGAGUGGGGAAUAUUGGACAAUGGGCGAAAGCCUGAUCCAGCAAUGCCGCGUGUGUGAAGAAGGUCUUCGGAUUGUAAAGCACUUUCGACGGGGACGAUGAUGACGGUACCCGUAGAAGAAGCCCCGGCUAACUUCGUG